UACGGAGGGGGCUAGCGUUGUUCGGAAUUACUGGGCGUAAAGCGUGCGCAGGCGGUUUUGUAAGCCAGUUGUGAAAUCCCCGGGCUCAACCUGGGAAUGGCAAUGGAUACUGGCGAGCUAGAGUGUGAUAGAGGAUGGUGGAAUUCCCGGUGUAGCGGUGAAAUGCGUAGAGAUCGGGAGGAACAUCAGUGGCGAAGGCGGCCAUCUGGAUCAACACUGACGCUGAAGCACGAAAGCGUGGGGAGCAAACAGG
rnacentral:rRNA from 1 species